GGAAUAUCAUUGAACAAUUUCAAUUUCAAAUUUGUAGAGUAAUCAUCUUUUAUCUUAGAUCUAGAGACAAAAAUUGUAGAUUUCCAUUUGGUACACUAAAGGCAAGUUGCCUUACAUUUCAGUUGUGGAUUUGAAGAUUGUGCUCUAUUUGAGUGAAGGAUCGGGAUGGUGAACCAAGAGAUCAUAUGUUCAUCUUCCUUUCUCAAAGUUGUUCGAGCUAGUUUGAAGCAAGGAGAAGCUGGUAAAUACGAGACAAGAGAUAGAACAGCGAACGAAUAAUAUUAAAAAUCAGGAAGAAAGUAGCAGUGAUACCAGAAAAGAAAGAUUUG
rnacentral:misc_RNA from 1 species